rnacentral:misc_RNA from 1 species
AAGUCGUAACAAGGUUUCCGUAGGUGAACCUGUGGAAGGAUCAUUAACACGUAUCCAAACGUUAAAACCCCCCCCGUGAACCUUCAUCCUGCUCUUGUAACCCGCGUAGUUCGCAAUCUCUGAUAAAUCAUAGCCCGGAAAGUUGUAGUUACAAUCGAGCGGUAGUUCUAUAGGCAAUGUUUCCCCAAGCAGUCAGUGUCGGAAAGUGUCAUUGAUUGUGCAAGGAUAGCGCUUCUACGAUUCCUGUAGACCGUACACUCGGGCAGGAGCUUUGCCAAAGGGUCCCCAUGCCCCCUAAUAACCCCACAGUUUAAUGUGAAGCUCAAUGUAAUACAUUGGGUAAAAAAACCGAACAACUGUUAACAAUGGAUAUCUUGGUUCUC